GACAGAGGGGGCAAGCGUUGCUCGGAAUUACUGGGCGUAAAGGGCGCGUAGGCGGGAUGGCAAGUCGGUCGUGAAAUCCUUCGGCUCAACCGAAGAACGUCGAUCGAUACUGCUGUUCUAGAGGGUUGCAGAGGAGACUGGAAUUCCCGGUGUAGCGGUGAAAUGUGUAGAGAUCGGGAGGAACACCGGUGGCGAAGGCGGGUCUCUGGGCAACUCCUGACGCUGAGGCGCGAAAGCCAGGGGAGCAAACGGG
rnacentral:rRNA from 1 species